UGAAACACAUUGAAAAAGAAAGUAAAAUAAUCAUACUUAGCCUAAGAGAGUCCUCGUUGUGGUGAGAGAGGAUGCAAGUAGAUCAUUUGAAAAUGGCUUUUGAGUGGAUUUCCCGAAUCUUUAAGGAAAUACGGAUGCCCCCGUUAACAAGGCACAGUCUCCGAUGUUUGGGUACUGAUAAAGGUAGAGUCUGUGAAGGCUGUACGAUUAAAGGUGGUAACGCAUGUUAAAUGCCCUUAGC
rnacentral:ncRNA from 1 species